GGGAAGUGUUAAUGUGUUUAACCAUUGCAUUGUGUAUUAUUUCUCCUCUGUCAUUGUGGGGACUCCCUGAUCCAGACACCGUCCUAGACCAUUGGAGACAGAACUGUUAUCGCUUUUGAUCGCGUGCGUUGCUGCGUAACUAGAAAAUUCCUUGUUAAACUGAGCAGACUCUGCUGUUGUCUCCCAGGCUCCGUUGCCAUCUUGCCAGUCUCUGCUGCCAUCAAGGAUGAAGCCUAAAGCGGCAGCAGACCGCCAUCUGCAUCUACA